rnacentral:rRNA from 1 species
GUGUCAGCAGCCGCGGUAAGACGAACCGUGCGAACGUUGUUCGGAAUCACUGGGCUUAAAGGGCGCGUAGGCGGGCCAUAAAGUCAGGGGUGAAAUCCUCCAGCUUAACUGGAGAACUGCCUUUGAUACUGAUGGUCUCGAGUAAGGUAGGGGCAUGCGGAACUGAUGGUGGAGCGGUGAAAUGUGUUGAUAUCAUCAGGAACUCCGGUGGCGAAGGCGGCAUGCUGGACCUUCACUGACGCUGAGGCGCGAAAGCUAGGGGAGCGAACGGGAUUAGAUACCCCUGUAGUCC